rnacentral:lncRNA from 1 species
CUUGAGCUGACAAUGCUUGGGAGACAUUUUGUUCCAGAAUAAGUCUAGGUUACACAGGGAUUAGGUAAAGAUAUAUCCACACUUUUCAACUUGCCAUUGUAUUAUAACUUUAUGCACUCUGUUGACUAAACAUCACUCUUAUUUACACAAUCAAACCCCUGUGAGUUUAUUGUGAUUCAUUAUACAUUUUACUUCCCCUCCCACUUCUUUGCUUAAACAGGUAGUGCUUGUCAAGGACCUGGUCCUAAAGGCAUGAAGUUGUGACUAAGAAGCUGAGAAUUUGAUGCCUUGACAGAGCCUGGUGGGAAAGGAAGGGCAUGGGGCUGCACACUCCCCCCAUGCUGCAGGGAGAUGCUGCAGUCAGUAAGCAAAGGAAAUACACCUUAAGUAUUCAGCACUUCACAAAGCCUAUAUCCUACUGUGAACAUGUGAAACAGCGAUCUGUGCAUUUGCUAGAAUGAUAGUCUAACUAGCCUCUCCUGUUUCACAAACUCAAGAUGUUGUUUGUGUGACACCCCUGAGACAUCAACCAGGAUAACCUGUUUCAAGGAAUGUGGAGAAACACAACUCUUUCAGCCAUUCUCUUAUUCUGUUUACUGACAAAAGGGUUCUCCUGAUUUAAAAAGUAAAGCACCAUUUUAGAAUUGUAACUAUUACUUUCAUUUACUUUGUCCCCCAGCCUGACUACAACCUUUUGCAAUAUCACAUCUCAAUCAGUAUGCAGGAUUCCCAGCAGCUUGGAUGCAACUGUUUAAGAAAAGAAUUGUGACUUCCUUUGUAUUAAAAAUCUUGACUAAACUUCAUCUUUAGGAAAUAUCUACUAAGUCUGCUACAGACAGAUGAAAGCAAGUUCUGGCCAUGCUUCUAGCCAGUAGGGCAUGAAUCAGCUGUGAUCCAGAAGAUGCCUAACAGUGUUAGUAUGGUGCAGAAUCCAAGCUUACCUUGGGCUUGGCCAGACACAACUGAAGCAAGUUAGCUUCUGAUGGUAUUGGACAGUGGAUAUAUAAUUAUAAUGAACUACCCUAUUGCAUCAGAUUCUCCCCUUAUUUAGUCCAGUCCAGCUUCAUGGUGGUCAGCAGCUUUGAAGUGGUAAUGGAAGUAUUUGGCUUAGUUCCUCAAUUUUAUGCAAAUACCCUAUAUAACAUCAAAAAGGAAAUUCAGAGAGGAGGUGGAAUAGCAUUUACAAAUGAAGACCAGUAAAUGUCUUUUUGCUGUUGAAGUAGGUAGUACUGCUGAACAAUAGCUUUAGUUGAGCUGUCAAGGAAAAUUUUCCCUAAAAGGUAAUCCAGAAUCUGAGGUUCAAAGAAACCAUCCCAACUUCCAUGUAUUUGUAUGCCAAGGACUAAAUGCAGUAGUUCCAGUGCUUGAACAAACUACUAUUAUUUGAACUAAGGGAUAAAAUCUAUAUUCAAACUACCAUAGACAUCAAAUAUAAGUAACGCAAAGUUGAAGUUAGCAGGU